rnacentral:rRNA from 1 species
GUGUCAGCCGCCGCGGUAAUACGGGGGGGGCAAGCGUUGUUCGGAAUCACUGGGCUUAAAGGGUGCGUAGGCGGGCCGGUGGGUGCCAUGUGAAAGCCCUCAGCUUAACUGAGGAACUGCAUGGUAUACCGCCGGUCUUGAGGUCGGCAGAGGAACCUGGAACUUUGGGUGGAGCGGUGAAAUGCGUAGAUAUCCAAGGGAACGCCGGUGGCGAAAGCGGGGUUCUGGGCCGAUUCUGACGCUGAGGCACGAAAGCGUGGGGAGCAAACAGGAUUAGAUACCCCAGUAGUCC